rnacentral:rRNA from 1 species
UAUUGGACAAUGGGCGCAAGCCUGAUCCAGCCAUGCCGCGUGCGUGAUGAAGGCCUUCGCGUUGUAAAUCUCUUUCAGUGGGGAAGAUAAUGACGGUACCCACAGAAGAAGCCCCGGCUAACUGCGUGCCAGCAGCCGCGGUAAUACGAAGGGGGCUAGCGUUGUUCGGAUUUACUGGGCGUAAAUCGCACGUAGGCGGAUUGGUCAGUUAGGGGUGAAAUCCCGGAGCUCAACUCCGGAAAUGCCUUUAAUACUGCCAGUCUAGAGACCGAGAGAGGUGAGUGGAACUCCUAGUGUAGGGGUGGAAUUCGUAGAUAUUAGGAAGAACACCAGUGGCGAAGGCGGCUCACUGGCUCGGUACUGACGCUGAGGUGCGAAAGCGUGGGGAGCAAACA